UGUGUCACUGUGGCUUUGAGGUUUCCUAUGCUCGGAUACCACCCAGUGUCUUAGUCGACUUUCUGUUGCCUGCAAGACGUAGGACUCCCAGCUGCUACUGAAGCACCAUGUCUGCCUGCACAUCACCGUGCUCCCUGCCAUGACGCUGAAACUGUUUGACUUAGAACCCCCUGUGUAGCCACAGAUGAUCUUGAAUUUCUCAUCCUCCUAAAUGCUGAGACCGCAAGCCUGCACCACCAUGGAAUCCAGAGCUUCACACACACUGGGCAAACAAGCUAUGAAUUGGGAUAUAACCUUAGUCCCACCAUUGCAGACUUUAUUAGCGGUCAUCCAGGUGAAGGAAGAAGAGCACAGGACUGUGAAGUAACGAGAUUAUCACUUCCCUUUGGUCUGAUGGAAAGAGGACUCUGCUCCAGCAUCCGAUGUCUUGCAGUCCUAACUCUGAUUCUACCUCUAUGUCCCUUCUGUUGAAAAUGGCCUCCAAGGUCAAUGGAACAAGUCAAAGCAGAAGCCUGCCCGUCCUACCCACCACCACCUUCAAGUGCCCAGCAGUCAGGGGCAGCCUAUCUGGGAUAGGAAAGCCUCUUCAACUGGGUCACUGAGUCAAAAGGCAGACUUCCAGCUGACGGAGGGACUUCCGCAGACCUAAGGGAGCAAUCAGGAGAGUGGGGGGAUGGGCUAGACUCCGGUGGUCUGGACUGAUACUGAGUUUUUACUCUUUACUGUUUUGGCUCUUUUGGGGACCACUCAGCUCCCAAAUAAAUCACAAAUGGAGUCUUAUUAUUACUUAUGAAUGCCUGGCCUUAGCUUGGCUUAUUUCUAGCCAGCUUUUCUUAACUUAAAAUUAUCCUGUCUAUAUUUGCCUGAAGGUUUUUACCUUUCUGUAUCCCUUUCUUUAACUUCUUACUCCAUGGCUUGCUGGGUAGCUGGGUAGCUGGCCCCUGAUGUCCUUCUCCUUCUCUUACUCCUUGAUCUCUCCUCCCAGAUUUUUUUUCUCAUCUUUAUUCUCUCUGCCAGCCCUGCCUAUCCUUUCUCCUGCCUCACUAUUGGCCAUACAGCUCUUUAUUAGACCAUCAGGUGUUUUGUACAGGCAAAGAAACACAUCUUUACAUCAUUAAACGAAUGUUCCACAGCAUAAACAAAUGUAACACAUCUUAAAAUAAUAUUCCACAAUGUUAGGGACAAUCUGAAAAUGAAUCAGCUCUUCCACAAAUCAGUUAAUAGGUGAAAAAAAAAAUUUAAAUCUUUGGAGUUCUACAUUUAAUAUUUGUAAAAAUAUUAAAUAUUAAUUCUGUCUCAAUGCUAUUUCUCUUCCUCGUAAGACAUGUUACUUUGAGGUUCUUGUCGCCACCUCUGGGUCUCUGUGUUUGAAUUUAAGGUUUGUAUCGGGUGACAGUAUGGAUAGUCUUUUGUAGUUUUAUUCUGUUAAGAUGUUAGAACAGUUGCAGACACUUUGUGAGAAGGAAGCAUUA